rnacentral:lncRNA from 1 species
AGAAAGCUGAAUCCAAGGAAGAACAGAAAAAGUUAACUGAGUUAUCCAGUGGCCUCUUCCAUCAGAAAAUACCAGAUACAAGACUCUGGAGGCAAGAAGCCUGUGAUGUGCAUUCUUCUGUCCAAAAGUUUUAUGCCCCUAUCUCCAGAGGUCAUCAUACUGCUUCCGUUACAAACCAGAACUUUCCUGGGGGCGAAACAAUGCUCUAUCAAGAUUCGGACAACUUUCAUUCCACGGUACUGUAAAGGAUCUUGCACCUGCGUAGAUGGCAUAAAAACAGUCCUGAGUUCCCAGGUGGCAAACAAUACCAACUUUUCUUCCUCCUGAUGAUUUCCAGAAGUGAACUAAGGAAAUCCAGAACAUACUGCCUUCUUAGGAAACAUGAUGCCAGAGUUACUAGAAAAAAGAUGAACAGCAAGUCAAAGUGAUUAUUUGAUGUCAUGUAAAAAAAGUUGUCUUGAGUUUAUUACAACAUUUAACAAUUGACUAUGGC